rnacentral:rRNA from 1 species
CCUGAGAAACCCAAAAGAUCGAAUGGGGAGAUUCAUCGUCAGCGGCUCUGGCUUCCGUGCGGUACGCGAUGGCGGGGACUUCGGUCUCGCGUCACGCUGCCGCUGCGGCACGUCCGGGGUCGUCGGCGUGCACUUCUCCCCUAGUAGGACGUCGCGACCCGUUGGGUGUCGGAUCGAUGGCCGGCCGGUCGUCUGGAGCGCUCGCGCGCCUCAGACCGGUUCGGUCGAAAGUCCGGCUGCCCGGCGGUAUUGAUGCUUAAAAAAAUCAGGUAUCGGGCCGCAUCGAAUGCGUUCAGGCUCGUCGGCAGGCUCGUCUCGCUCGGAUUUACGGACCUAGCGCCGUUGCCGGGCGCUUGGCGCGGCCGUUAGUCGACGAUGUCCUCGGACCGGCUCUUACCCGUCGG